ACAACUAGAAUCACAACCAUAUCUUAAAAGCCUAAGUAUUGUAUCCUUGUUAGAAGAUACAAAGACAAAGACUCAUAGAGACUUCGCCUACACCAUCAAAGCUUUGAGAAGCAAGAAGAAGCUUGUUAGUG
rnacentral:sRNA from 1 species